rnacentral:misc_RNA from 1 species
UUGGGUUGCUCUGGCUGAUUCACUCUCAUUUUCAUACCACACAAUGAGAAUCCAUUGCACCAUCAUGGCCACCAUAAACUCCAUGCCCACGCAAGUACCUCUCUCUCUCUAUCUCUCUUUCCCACAUCUCAACCAAAUCAAAUGUGAGUCACCACUUCAAGAAUGGCCCUUCCACUCAUGUACCCACCGUUACUACUCUCGUCAUAUUAAUAACCACACGAAAACAUUGUUCAGCCUAUAAACGAAACUUAGCGAGAGAGAGAGAGAGAUAGAGAGAGACAUACAUGAAAGCCGAGAUGCACAGGGACAUAGCCAACUGCAA